rnacentral:rRNA from 1 species
AGCAGCCGCGGUAAUUCCAGCUCCAAUAGCGUAUAUUAAAGUUGUUGCAGUUAAAAAGCUCGUAGUUGAAUUUCGGGAUCAGUACGAUGGUCGUGCCUCUGGUAUGUACUGUUGUGACUGGUUCCUCCCUUCUGAAGAACUGUCAUGUCAUUAAUUUGGUGUGGCGGGGAAUCAGGACUGUUACUUCGAAAAAAUUGAGUGUUUAAAGCAGGCUCGCGCUUGAAUACAUUAGCAUGGAAUAAUGAAAUAGGACGUUUGAUCCUAUUUUGUUGGUUUCUAGGAUUGACGUAAUGAUUAAUAGGGAUAGUUGGGGGCAUUAGUAUUCAAUUGUCAGAGGUGAAAUUCUUGGAUUUAUUGAAGACUAACUACUGCGAAAGCAUUUGCCAAGGAUGUUCUCAUUAAUCAAGAACGAAAGUUAGGGGAUCGAAGACGAUCAGAUACCGUCGUAGUCUUAACCAUAAACUAUGCCGACUAGGGAUCGGAUGAUGUUAAUUUUUUAAUGUACUCUA